rnacentral:rRNA from 1 species
GAUGAACGCUGGCGGCGUGCCUAAUACAUGCAAGUCGAGCGAAGCGGGGACGGGUGAGUAACACGUGGAUAACCUCCUAUAAGACUGGGAUAACUUCGGGAAACCGUAGCUAAACCGGAUACUUAUCGAUGGAUCCGCGCUGCAUUAGCUAGUUGGUAAGGUAACGGCUUACCAAGGCAACGAUGCAUAGCUGACCUGAGAGGUUGAUCAGCCACACUGGAACUGAGACACGGCCCAGACUCCUACGGGAGGCAGCAGUAGGGAAGCUUGCGCAAUGGGCGAAAGCCUGACGGAGCCACGCCGCGUGAGUGAUGAAGGUCUUAGGAUCGUAAAACACUGUUAGUCGGGAAGCGGUACCUAAUCAGAAAGCCACGGCUAACUACGUGCCAGCCGCCGCGGUAAUUC